GACGAACGCUGGCGGCGUGCCUAAUACAUGCAAGUCGAACGAGAGCGACCGGUGCUUGCACUGGUCAAUCUAGUGGCGAACGGGUGAGUAACACGUGGGUAACCUGCCCAUCAGAGGGGGAUAACAUCCGGAAACGGAUGCUAAAACCGCAUAGGUCUUCGAGCCGCAUGGCUUGAAGAGGAAAAGAGGCGCAAGCUUCUGCUGAUGGAUGGACCCGCGGUGCAUUAGCUAGUUGGUGAGGUAACGGCUCACCAAGGCCGUGAUGCAUAGCCGACCUGAGAGGGUGGUCGGCCACAUUGGGACUGAGACACGGCCCCAACUCCUACGGGAGGCAGCAGUAGGGAAUCUUCCGCAACGGACGCAAGUCUGACGGAGCAACGCCGCGUGAGUGAAGAAGGUUUUCGGAUCGUAAAACUCUGUUGUUAGAGAAGAGCAAGUGCUAGAGUAACUGUUAGCGCCUUGACGGUAUCUAACCAGAAAGCCACGGCUAACUACGUG
rnacentral:rRNA from 1 species